rnacentral:tRNA from 2 species
GCCCGGAUGGCGGAACCGGCAGACGCAGGGGACUCAAAAUCCCCCGAGGGCAACCUCUUGUGGGUUCGAUUCCCACUCCGGGCA